rnacentral:rRNA from 2 species
UACGGGAGGCAGCAGUAGGGAAUCUUCCGCAAUGGACGAAAGUCUGACGGAGCAACGCCGCGUGAGUGAUGAAGGUCUUCGGAUCGUAAAACUCUGUUGUCAGGGAAGAACAAGUUGUGUUCUAACAGGACAUGACCUUGACGGUACCUGACCAGAAAGCCCCGGCUAACUACGUGCCAGCAGCCGCGGUAAUA